AACAAUUUAUGUUUUUUAACAUAAUACUGGAUAUCGCAUAUUCCGAAAUAAAGAUUAAGCCGGCAAAAACUCCUUGCCAGUUUCAUUCAUUAUAGAUCUUAUCUAACCAGAGAUUCGUAUACUUGAUAUAGUACUUAACAUAGUAGAAAUACAUUUUAUAACGUUCGCAACACUAUUCUACAUUCCGAAAAUACAUCAUAGCCGUAAUUUAAAAUCUUGAUCCAGUAAUCUACAGAUAGAAAUCAUUCGAAUUAUGUCAAGACCCUGAGCAAUAUAUCAACAUUGUUUGACGUCUCAGAAUUAAUAAAAUUAAAAACUAUUUUCUUAUCUGAAAAACCUUUUACGAGGUUUUAUGUAAGACCGUCCUAUUAUAAGCAAAUAACAAUGUAAUAAAAAAAUGUAUCUGUAGUCAAAAAUAAUGGAUAUGGAAGAAACUCCAAACGGUUUUUCAAUUUAAAAACACUAUUUAUUACUGACAAUCUUUUACAAAUAACAUUGUUUAGGGUUAAUUAUUUAUUUUUUGGGUAGCGACAAUGGUGUCAUUGGUGCAUUGACUAUGCCACUAUGCACUAUGAGGAUCGAUGUGUACUCGAUAUUCCGCCAUCGGCCCCUCCCUUCCUACUUACUCAUACAUACAAACCAACAAAAAUAUACAUACACAUUGUAUAGCUACAUAAUAAUUAUAUAUAAUAUUUAAAAUAUUUACAGAUGGAGAACCACCCCCGUUUCUCCUAAAAGUCGGAACAGGGGACCCAACAACCAACUCCCUUGGCUAAAGGGGCCAGGACGUGGCACUCCUCUCGAGCCGCUGAGAUUCGAACCCGAACGCCCUUCCAGUGAUGAGUCGCCAUGGGAUUUGGGGAAAAGUUGGCAUAUAAAUUAAUAAAAAAUAAAAUAUUAAAAAUUUGACUGUUUUGUUGCUCUGUUAGAAAAGUACCGAGAUGUAAGACGUCACCUGUAAUAAUUAUAAAGAUAAAGAAACAUUUUAAAUUUUUACGGCAUCUUAAAACGCGGCCUGUGGACUUUUUUACAAAUAUUAAGGCAAUGGCCGCUGAGAUUCGAACACAACCACCCUUCCAGUGAUGAGCCGUGUCAAACAAAGCUCCGUGUCAAAUCAACUUAUAUUUGAUUAUA